rnacentral:rRNA from 1 species
UACAUGGGGUGCAAACGUUGCUCGGAAUUAUUGGGCGUAAAGCGCACGUAGGCGGUUCGUUAUGUCGGAUGUGAAAGCCCUUGGCUUAACCGAGGAAGUGCAUCCGAAACUGGCGAGCUAGAGUACUAAAGAGGAUCGCGGAAUUCCCGGUGUAGAGGUGAAAUUCGUAGAUAUCGGGAGGAACACCGGUGGCGAAGGCGGCGAUCUGGGUAGAUACUGACGCUGAGGUGCGAAAGCGUGGGGAGCAAACGGG